GUGUUACUCUAGUCAAAUGUGAAUAUUCGUUUGUUAUGAAUCUCACUGCUCUAUUUUGUGUCUGUUCCAGUUUUUUAAUGUUUUCUUGGGUUGAGGGGUCCCAAACGGAGGAUGCAUAUUCUAUUAUUGGCCUAACCAAGGUUAAGUAACAUUUCAUGUUUGCUUUAGUUUCAUUAUCAUUAUGUAUUAUGUUAUGUUCAUCUUUUAAUGGCGCUACGCCUGUUGUUUCCAUUUUCUUAGACUUAAUGUAUGACCAUAGGUUUUUGUUGUUAUCUUUAGAUAUUACAUUGUUUAUGUAUUCACUCUGCAGCUGUCUGCUUACUUUUUGGGUUAAGUGUUUAAUUUUUAUAUACUUUUUGUAAACUCUUUCUGCAUUAGUUUCUUUAAAUUUUCUAUAGAGGUUUUCCUUCUGUUUACAAAGCUUCUUUAGUCUAUUAUUAAACCAGCAUUUAUUUAUUUUGUUUGAUGUGUAUUUAGUUGGUAUAUGAUUUUCUAUAAUGCUUUUAAGAUGGUUUUUAAUGAAAUUCCAGAGGUCAUCGACUGGUUGGUUAAUGUCUUUUUCUAAUAAGAAUGUUUGUUGAAAGUUCAGUGCAGCUUGGUGUAGUUGUGUUAGGUUACAUUUAUUCCAGAGUAAGAUUUUUCUUUUGGGUUUUGUAUUGGCUACUGCUUUUAUCUGACUGUGUAUUUUUAUGAUCUCAUGGUCUGAUAGACCAGGGAUAAUUUCAUAAUCAACUACUAAUCCAGGUCUGUUGGUUAAGAAGAGAAGAUUUGUUGGAGACACGGGGAAAAAAGUUUGACCUAGAUCUAGGUCUAGUCUAGAUCUACUUUUAGUGAAAGAUCUAGAUCUAGAUCUAAAUCUAGAUACUUUUAGAUACUUAAUAUAGAGCAGCUCAUUUUUCUGAUUCAAUCAAUUACUUUUGUGUGUGUAGGCCUAUAAAUUAGCGUGCUUCGUAUUUUGGAUACUUCAAAAAUAUUGGAUUUUUGUUGAUAUAACCAUUGAGUUACCAUUGAACAACCAUUGUUAUACGUAUAGGCCUACACGGAUUAUUGGAACAGUUUGGAUUAUUUAAUACGCAAAGGGGUGCCAUAGCGUUGUUUUAUGUUGUGUGAAGCCAUGAUGACAGUGUCGAUAUUGGGAGGCCAUGGUUUGGGGCUUUGAGUCAGUGACCCCAACAAUCUGUGUUGCCCUCAAUUGUCCCUCGCCGAGUUGAGAGUCAAUGACUUUUAAUGCUUCACAGACUGCCAUGGUCUCCACAUUGAAACUGCAAACACUACCACAUGGACCAAAGAUUUUGACUGAGUGAGAGCCAAGAAAGUCGAUGUAGGCUCCAUAACCUGCUCUUCCAGAAUCUAUUGAUGCCGACCCAUCAGUGAAUGCAAAAAUAGCACUGAGCUUAAAGAUUUGAAAAAAUUAAAAAACACCAUUCAUGAAAUGUACAAAUUAUAUUUGUUUCUAUACUGCAUUCUUGGAGCUACUGUUUAUAAGAACUUAGUUAUGUCUUCAUUUCAAAGUGUACAUUUAUUUAAAGGCAUUGAAGGAGUUGUGAAUGGAAUGAUUAUGUUUUAUGUAUUAGGUAUGUUCUGGGCCAAUUGCAAACAGUGUGAAAGGUUACUUCUCUGAGAUGUGGAACUACAUGGACAUCACCAUGUUGGCGUUUUAUACUGCUGGCUACUCCACGAAGGUGUGAUCUUUACAAAAACCAAUAGAUACUUUGCUGACAACCAACUGAUUCACAUUGAAGCCUCUUAGAGACCACUGGGACAUUGUUCUGGGCUGCCUUUGGUAUGGGGAACUCUCAGGCACCAGCUAUUAAAGAAGAAACAAAUAGCAGUCAAGUUAAUGGUGACUCAGAGAUAAGAGACAGUGUGCUGCUGAAAGUCAUUGAGGUGGUUGGCUACAUUUUGUAUGGAGUUUACAUUCUUGAUGCUGUCGUGGUCCUGAUCAACUUGUUCAUUGCUAUGAUGAAUUUGAAGACAUUUAGAAUGUCCAAAAGAUUAGUCAGCUAAGGAGCCUAAAAUGUUAGCCUGUUUACAAAUAUGAGAUCUUCCUUGACUACACAAGUACCUUACAAAAGAAGGCUACUCACUUGUGUUUGGAUAUGUCAGCUGUUUUGUCCCUGUGGCCCUUUUCAAGCAUGACAGAUACUAUUCUAAGCAGCUUUUUUCUCUGGAAAUUAUUCAACCACAGAAGCUGUGAGGGAUAUCUGAAAUCCAUUGCUUACUUGUCUAGAAAGACUUCCAUCGAUUGAGUGAUAAAAGAUUAAAUGUACACAACUUUUAGUAGUCACCACAUAACACUUAACAUUUUGAUGCUCAAAACAAUACUGUUCAUGAAUGGUUUAUUUUUCUUUAUGCUGAGAGUGUCCAAGAAAGAUAAGGUCAAAGGUUAAUUGGACAAACAAUAAACUUUGUCUCUGAAUCUGAAAUUGUAGAACUUGUAGAGAAAAACAACAACUUUGUGUUGUUUUUUUUUUAAUUUACCAGGUACUAGGUACCUACUAUUCAUUUACUUUGACUGUUGACUUUAAGUUAGAAAUAAGGAAAGAUUUCUUUGAGCUAUAUUUGUCAAUGACCAUAGGCAUUAAGAGAGUUGACACCUCAUUUUACUUUUCAACAAGAUGAUGUCUUAAAAAAAUUAAGAGCUUUUGGUGGAAUUCUGUGGUUGAAUAACAUAAGGAAUAAUCACAGGAUUCCAUCAAAAUCAUUGCAAUUUGAACAUUGUUGGUAGUUUCAAUGUUGUUAAGUUUUUUAGUUCUUGGUGUUACUACAUUAUUCAUUUUCUAGUGACCAGGCAGUGUUUUAUACCAUGAAUGAAUAUGUUGUAAGAGGUUUAAGGUAUACCACUCAAUCAAUAAUAUCUUUGACAAUAAAAUAUUUUGAUUAAGUUUAUAUUUUUGGAACAGAAUAUGCUUAUGUGUUAAAUGUACAUUUUUCUUUUUUUUUUUGAAUAACAACUGAUAUUAGUUUUAUCCCUUUGUAUCUUUCUACAGUAGAUGCAGUGUCAUACUAAAUAGAAAUUUAAAAAAAUUAUAAUAACUUCUAAUCAAAAAUCAAAUUAAAAUCAAAUAUCUAAAUGAAUCAUGCUACUUUGAUUCUACACAACUCAUUUUGAUAUUUAUGUAUACCUUGUAAUAAAAGUGGCAUUCAUUUUACAAUUUCAUUUUUUUUUAUUGUAACUGGUCUGUGUUAAUUUCUUUUUUUUUUUUUCAAAUUACUUUGUAUUGCCUAUAUGGGGAAAUGGUAUUUCUGGUGUUUCUUUGCUCAGCAAAAACAAAUCAGGAUUUGAACUCAAGCCCCCUUGACAGUGGUUUAUGCCAGAUAUCCAGCAUUUCAUGCAGUUUGUAGGCCAAAUUUGAUACUCACAGUGCCCCAGUGCAGGUAGAAAGGAAACCUUGCCUCAUUAAUGUUUGCUGCUCCAGACUUGCUUCUCUCUAUCUCAACUGAUCUAGGAAGCACUACAGCUGGGUUUCAGUCCACUGCAUUGGCUAGAGAGGAUUUCAGUCUCUCAGGCUGCAACUUAAAUGAAGUCUGAUGUGAUUUUAUUCUUUAAAAGUUGUAUGGAUGUCUUUAAGCUACAUAACUUAUCCUAGUCCAAUGUGUUGAUUGACAUAGUUACCAGGUACUGGUACUAAAAAAAAUGCCGCUUUUAUCCUCCCCUUCCAGCAACCCUUAGAUCUAGUUUUUCUAAAUUUCUAGUAGUUUAAUAGUGCUUUUCCAUAUGUCAUUAAAAAGUUAUGUUAAAAGUUAA